GCCAUCAUCAUCCCCAAGCCUCUGGUAUCCAGUAGAGAGCUGACGGUAUCAGCUUCGGCCUAAUACACUGUCAUGUGCGCGUAAACGCUCAGGAGGGAUGUUGCUCUUGGUUUUGGUCUCCAUGGAGCUAAACAACAUUGAACAACCCAGCACUUGUGUCCUUGGAGGGUUUUCUUGAAAAGAUGUGUUGUCAUGGUUGCAGUAUGUCGAUACCAGCACGCCGAUACAUAGAGCUGUAUCUGUGAGCAGAAUGGAGGGAAAAACAAGACUGUGGUGAGUCAUCACUGAUGAGAGUGGGGAAGACCUAGAAAUCUGGGCUGCAAUCCCCUUCCAGCUAUGAGAGAAAGAGAGAGAGAGAUGGCUGAUUGAGCUGUAUUUUGCAGAGACUGCAAAUUGUUUAGGAUUUGUGUUAAGGAAGGGUAAGACUUACACUUACAAAAAUCAAAAAGUACCAUGGACAGGUAUCAUGGUAAUACCAUGGCAUUCUUUGAAAUAUCUUUGGAUGAAUUACAAUUAGGAAAAAAAUGUACAGAUAAGUACCAUGAUAUUAUCACCAUGUUUUUUUAUGACAUAUACCAUGUCAAUACUGUGUUUUGUAUGUUUUUGUACAAUGUAACAUUUUCACUUUAAAAAAUAAAAAAUGCUUUUCAUGA